rnacentral:sRNA from 1 species
UCAUUGCUCGAGAACCUCAUUUGAGAGAAACACUCUCUCGAGCAUUUCAUUUGGAGAAAACUCCUUCGAAGCUAAGGCUUGGAGUGAUGCGAGAAAGGGUUUCCAAAGAAGAACGAAUGGGAGAAGAAGAAGAGGAGAGCUUCAUCGGCACGUCAUUUACAUAAAGCUCGUGCACGUGACCUUGACCGGUGAAGAUGGCAAAUGAUCAGAGGGCUGAAGUUAAAGAAGCAAUGAGAGUCGUUCGAUUUGGAGGAAGUGUCGAAGAUAAGAUUCAAGUGUAGUCAAGAAGCGACCUCCACCUUGAAGAAUGGAGUGGCUUCUCGGUCCAGAAGUGACAGCGGAAUGAAAGCAAGGUUGAAGCUAUCGGUGCAUGCCAGGUGUUCGAUGGAAUGGUUGGCAGUGUUGUAUGUGGUAUAAGUGAAGUCUCUAACUCCGAAAGCCUUUCAAAGGGGAAGGAAGCUAGAGGAAAACGUGCUUAAAGAGGCACAAAGGUUGAACUUGAAGCAAGGAAUGACUGGACAAAUCUCAGCAGCAUUUCAGUAAGGCAUUCAAGUUGGAUUUUACAAGAGAUCAAGCUUUCUUUUAUAGAUGAAGAAGAGCUAUGAUCCGUGCAGAGAAAGCUACACAAAGUUCAUUUAAAACGUGCUGGAUACAUAUCAAAACGUGUAUGAACUAAAUGACAUGUGCAACAGAAGUUGGCCGUGUGUUCCAUGUGGAAAAUGUGGACAAUGUGCACACGUGAAGAAUGCUACACGGUUGGACCUAUGUCACAUGGAAAAUGUUGAAAACAUGCUCCAAAAAGAAGAAGCUCCACAACUUGGCUGCAACAUGCACUUCUACUUGCUUCCUUUUCUUUCCUUUACUUGGUAACCUUCCUAGUAUCCUUCCAACUUUUAUUGUCCUACAAAACAAUGGAAUUAGUUAAAGAAGAACAUGCUAAGACUUAGAAAGAAAAGAUUAAGUCCUUAUUCAACUUCCUUUUCUUGGUCUUAGAUUGAAGUUGAUACUUCUUUGGCUGGAAAGUCCCUAAAGGGGUUGCGAUCAUCUGUUCUCAUG